GAUGAACGCUGGCGGCGUGCCUAAUACAUGCAAGUCGAGCGAACGGACGAUAAGCUUGCGUCUCUGAUGUUAGCGGCGGACGGGUGAGUAACACGUGGAUAACCUACCUAUAAGACUGGGAUAACUUCGGGAAACCGUAGCUAAUACCGGAUAAUAUUUUGAACCGCAUGGUUCAAAAGUGAAAGACGGUCUUGCUGUCACUUAUAGAUGGAUCCGCGCUGCAUUAGCUAGUUGGUAAGGUAACGGCUUACCAAGGCAACGAUGCAUAGCCGACCUGAGAGGGUGAUCGGCCACACUGGAACUGAGACACGGUCCAGACUCCUACGGGAGGCAGCAGUAGGGAAUCUUCCGCAAUGGGCGAAAGCCUGACGGAGCAACGCCGCGUGAGUGAUGAAGGUCUUCGGAUCGUAAAACUCUGUUAUUAGGGAAGAACAUCUGUGUAAGUAACUGUGGACAUCUUGACGGUACCUAAUCAGAAAGCCACGGCUAACUACGUG
rnacentral:rRNA from 1 species